rnacentral:rRNA from 1 species
GGGGAAUAUUGGACAAUGGAGGUAACUCUGAUCCAGCAAUUCUGUGUGCACGACGAAGGUCUUCGGAUUGUAAAGUGCUUUAAGUUGGGAAGAAAAAAAUGACGGUACCAACAGAAUAAGCGACGGCUAAAUACGUGCCAGCAGCCGCGGUAAUACGUAUGUCGCAAGCGUUAUCCGGAAUUAUUGGGCAUAAAGGGCAUCUAGGCGGGGUUUCAAGUCGACGGUGAAAACUAGUGGCUCAACCAUUAGCUUGCCGACGAAACUGAAAUUCUAGAGUAUUGGAAAGGUGGGCGGAACUACAUGAGUAGAGGUGAAAUUCGUAGAUAUAUGUAGGAAUGCCGAUGACGAAGGUAGCUCACUGGACAAAAACUGACGCUGAAGUGCGAAAGCUAGGGGAGCAAAC